GCACAAGCGGUGGAGCAUGUGGUUCAAUUUGAAGCAACGCGCAGAACCUUACCAGCUCUUGACAUGUCCCGUAUGAGUACCAGAGAUGGAACUCUUCAGUUCGGCUGGCGGGAACACAGGUGCUGCAUGGCUGUCGUCAGCUCGUGUCGUGAGAUGUUGGGUUAAGUCCCGCAACGAGCGCAACCCUCGCCCUUAGUUGCCAUCAUUUAGUUGGGCACUCUAAGGGGACUGCCGGUGAUAAGCCGCGAGGAAGGUGGGGAUGACGUCAAGUCCUCAUGGCCCUUACGGGUUGGGCUACACACGUGCUACAAUGGCGGUGACAGUGGGAUGCAGAGGGGUGACCCCGAGCAAAUCUCAAAAAGCCGUCUCAGUUCGGAUUGUGCCCUGCAACUCGGGCACAUGAAGUUGGAAUCGCUAGUAAUCGCAGAUCAGCACGCUGCGGUGAAUACGUUCCCGGGC
rnacentral:rRNA from 1 species